rnacentral:rRNA from 1 species
UACGUAGGGUGCAGGCGUUAAUCGGAAUUACUGGGCGUAAAGCGCGCGCAGGCGGUUUCUUAAGUCAGAUGUGAAAGCCCCGGGCUUAACCUGGGAACUGCGUUUGAAACUGGGAGACUUGAGUGUGGCAGAGGGGGGUGGAAUUCCACGUGUAGCAGUGAAAUGCGUAGAUAUGUGGAGGAACACCGAUGGCGAAGGCAGCCCCCUGGGUUAACACUGACGCUCAUGCACGAAAGCGUGGGGAGCAAACAGG